CCUGGCUGCCCCGAGCAGACCGUUGCCCGCCGCCCCCACAGACGCUACCCCCUGGUGCUUGCCAGGCAGCACGCUGCCAGGCGGACUCCGAGGCGGCACCGGCGCUGCUGCUACAACGGAUGCGCCUACACCUGCCUGGAAGCCGUGCCGCCCCCACCAGGUGGGCGAAUCCUGAGACACAAAUUUUACAAAGAAUAUCCAGAAGGUGACUCAAAGAAUGUGGCACAACCUGGAAGGGGACAACAGAUGCACUUUCAAUAAAGCAACAACAGGCAGCUGGGUUGCAAGAACAUUUAUCCACACUUUCUGCUAAGCCUUGGAAAUAGUUGGGAAAAGUAGUUUGACCCUCAACGUUCACAUUCAGCUCAGCAGAGCAAGACCCCAGAGAUGCUUAGCCACAGGACACAUGGCCGUCAAUCCCAGCUUGGGCCAGCCUGGCUGGGCGACUCUGUGGGAGGCACUUCACAGCUCUAG
rnacentral:lncRNA from 1 species